rnacentral:rRNA from 1 species
AGAAUUUGAUCUUGGUCAGGACGAACGCUGGCGGCGUGCCUAACACAUGCAAGUCGAACGGACUGAUUCCCUUCGGGGAUGAAAGUUAGUGGCGGACGGGUGAGUAACGCGUGAGUAACCUGCCUUUCAGAGGGGGAUAACGUUUGGAAACGAACGCUAAUACCGCAUAACGUACAGUUGUCGCAUGGCAGCAGUACCAAAGGAGCAAUCCGCUGGAAGAUGGACUCGCGUCUGAUUAGAUAGUUGGCGGGUAACGGCCACCAAGUCGACGAUCAGUAGCCGGACUGAGAGGUUGAACGGCCACAUUGGGACUGAGACACGGCCCAGACUCCUACGGGAGGCAGCAGUGAGGGAUAUUGCACAAUGGGCGCAAGCCUGAUGCAAGCAACGCCGCGUGAAGGAUGACGGUUUUCGGAUUGUAAACUUCUGUUCUUAGUGAUGAUAAUGACAUUAGCUAAGGAGAAAGCCACGGCUAACUACGUGCCAGCCGCCGC